GACGCUUGUAGACGUCCACGGACAACUACGGAACGAAUCUGAACAUGCCUGUCACGUAGGAGGCCGUGGGUUCGAGUCCCAUCAGCGUCGCCA
rnacentral:tRNA from 1 species